UUCGAUGAUACGCGAAGAACCUUACCGGGUUUGACAUGCAGGUGAUCGCCGUUGAAAGACGGUUCCUCUUCGGAGGCACCUGCACAGGUGCUGCAUGGCUGUCGUCAGCUCGUGUCGUGAGAUGUUGGGUUAAGUCCCGCAACGAGCGCAACCCUUAUCCCUAGUUGCCAUCAGGUAAAGCUGGGAACUCUGGGGAGACUGCCGGUGAUAAACCGGAGGAAGGCGGGGAUGACGUCAAGUCCUCAUGGCCCUUACAUCCCGGGCUACACACGUGCUACAAUGGCAGGUACAGAGGGCUGCGAAGCCGCGAGGUGGAGCGAAUCCCAGAAAAACCUGUCUCAGUCCGGAUUGAAGUCUGCAACUCGACUUCAUGAAGGCGGAAUCGCUAGUAACCGCGAAUCAGCAGGUCGCGGUGAAUACGUUCCCGGGCCUU
rnacentral:rRNA from 1 species